rnacentral:sRNA from 1 species
ACCCCGGCUGGCUCUCCGAGUGCUACCUCUACUUUAAGUAGAAGUACUUUUACUAUGAAGUACUUUUGCUGAAGUAGAGGUAGCACUUGGAGAGCCGGCCGGGGUAGGGAGAUUUUUUUUAUUUUUUUUUUCAAU